rnacentral:rRNA from 1 species
UACAGAGGUCCCAAGCGUUGUUCGGAUUCAUUGGGCGUAAAGGGUGCGUAGGCGGCGCGGUAAGUCGGGUGUGAAAUCUCGGAGCUUAACUCCGAAACUGCAUUCGAUACUGCCGUGCUUGAGGACUGGAGAGGAGACUGGAAUUUACGGUGUAGCGGUGAAAUGCGUAGAUAUCGUAAGGAAGACCAGUGGCGAAGGCGAGUCUCUGGACAGUUACUGACACUGAGGCACGAAGGCCAGGGGAGCAAACGGG